rnacentral:rRNA from 1 species
UGCUCCUUGGGUGACGAGUGGCGGACGGGUGAGUAAUGUCUGGGAAACUGCCCGAUGGAGGGGGAUAACUACUGGAAACGGUAGCUAAUACCGCAUAACGUCGCAAGACCAAAGAGGGGGACCUUCGGGCCUCUUGCCAUCGGAUGUGCCCAGAUGGGAUUAGCUAGUAGGUGGGGUAACGGCUCACCUAGGCGACGAUCCCUAGCUGGUCUGAGAGGAUGACCAGCCACACUGGAACUGAGACACGGUCCAGACUCCUACGGGAGGCAGCAGUGGGGAAUAUUGCACAAUGGGCGCAAGCCUGAUGCAGCCAUGCCGCGUGUAUGAAGAAGGCCUUCGGGUUGUAAAGUACUUUCAGCGAGGAGGAAGGCGUUGCGGUUAAUAACCGCAACGAUUGACGUUACUCGCAGAAGAAGCACCGGCUAACUCCGUGCCAGCAGCCGCGGUAAUACGGAGGGCGCAAGCGUUAAUCGGAAUUACUGGGCGUAAAGCGCACGCAGGCGGUCUGUCAAGUCGGAUGUGAAAUCCCCGGGCUCAACCUGGGAACUGCAUCCGAAACUGGCAGGCUAGAGUCUUGUAGAGGGGGGUAGAAUUCCAGGUGUAGCGGUGAAAUGCGUAGAGAUCUGGAGGAAUACCGGUGGCGAAGGCGGCCCCCUGGACAAAGACUGACGCUCAGGUGCGAAAGCGUGGGGAGCAAACAGGAUUAGAUACCCUGGUAG